rnacentral:rRNA from 1 species
ACUCCUACGGGAGGCAGCAGUGGGGAAUAUUGCACAAUGGGCGCAAGCCUGAUGCAGCCAUGCCGCGUGUAUGAAGAAGGCCUUCGGGUUGUAAAGUACUUUCAGCAGUGAGGAAGGUGGGUAUGUUAAUAGCAUAUUCAUUUGACGUUAGCUGCAGAAGAAGCACCGGCUAACUCCGUGCCAGCAGCCGCGGUAAUACGGAGGGUGCGAGCGUUAAUCGGAAUUACUGGGCGUAAAGCGCAUGCAGGUGGUUUGUUAAGUCAGAUGUGAAAGCCCGGGGCUCAACCUCGGAAUUGCAUUUGAAACUGGCAAACUAGAGUACUGGUAGAGGGGGGUAGAAUUUCAGGUGUAGCGGUGAAAUGCGUAGAGAUCUGAAGGAAUACCGGUGGCGAAGGCGGCCCCCUGGACAGAUACUGACACUCAGAUAGCGAAAGCGUGGGGAGCAAACAGGAUUAGAUACCCUGGUAGGCUCU